CGGAGACCAAAUUGUCCUCUUUAUAUUCUGUUUCUGUUAUCAGUUUGCUGCUCUGCUCACAACAAUGCCUGCAGUGCCGGAUUUGGAUGAGUUAAUUAAACUAUACUUCAGACUUUCCCUAAGUAGCAAAGAAAUACUUGCUAUUUUUGGCACAUACUAAUCAUAUUGUAAUUAGUGUCCGAACUUUAAAGAGAAUCUGUAAAAGACUUAAGCUGUUCAGGAGGAAGAACCAGUCUGACUUGGAGGAAGUGCUUGCUUUAUACAGCAUGAGAUCAUGACCAAUGGACAGAUGCAGGGAUACUGUUGGCUACAUCUCCGUGCAAUUCAACAGGGCCUUGUUGUGUCACAAGACAGCAUAAGACACAUCAUCAAACUGGUUGACCCACAAGGUGUGGAAUUAAGACGAGCCCACCACUUGAGAAGACGUCAGUACAGAUGCAGAGGGCCAAAUGCACUUUGGCACAUGGAUGGCUAUGAUAAGCUAAACCCCUUAGCAUUGCCAUUAAUGGCUGUAUAGAUGGUUUUAGCCGCUAUGUGUUAUGGAUGGAGGCGUAUAACACAAACAGUGAUCCUAAAGUAGUUGCAAGUGACUUUAUCAAAACAGUUUCAGGUAUAGGUGGAUGUCCAGAAAGGAUUUGUGCAGACAGGGGCACGGAAAAUGUUUCCGUAAAAGAAAUGCCGAUGUUUUUGCGAAGGAACCACCCGGACAGUUUUGCUGGGGAGAAAAGUGUUCUUUAUGGAAGAAGCACAGCAAACCAGCGCAUUGAAGGAUGGUGGGGUAUACUCUGCAAACAGAGUGCGCAGUUCUGGAUGAACCUGUUCCAAACUCUCCAGGAUGAUGGGCACUUCACAGGAGACUUUUUGGACAAAAGUCUUAUCCAAUUCGGUUACCUUAAUCUUGUUCAGGAUGAACUUGAUGAAGUGGUCAACACCUGGAAUUCCCACAAAAUCAGACCAAGAUCAACUGAUGACACAGCAUCUGGUCGGAAGAUUCUCUGCGGUGACUUUCCUUCUACAGCCAUAGCUGUCAAGAACUUCCAAAAGGUCAUCAGUGUCAACUGCAGUGAAAUCAGUCAGCGCUUGCAUCAAAACGUCACAUUCUUGGCUGCUCAUAAGUUGCAGAAAAUGUCCUUUGAGGUCACUGUACACAUUAUCAAAAACACCUGUACAAGGAAAGGCAGUGCAAGUUUGUUUGAGAAAUAUUGACAAUCUUGGUAACCCUUCAAAAGUAUUCUUCCAAUUGCCUUCCAUGUUUCAGCAGGAAAAUCGUGGCGAAUGAAGGGCACUAACUGUUGUCCCAAGUGUGCAUCUGUCAUAGAAUUCCUGCCAGAAGCAACUGAGAACAUCCCUCAGUACACCAGAACCACUGCCGGCUUCUUCCUUGUUGUCUGGGAGAAUGCGCCUCACAUUCAGUGAUUUGUUUAAAAUCUCUGCAUCAGAAAAGGCAGUAAUCAUGUCAGGUAGGGUGUUUCCAUGAUGUACAAUGAUCGUUAGUUGUUUCUCUGCCUCAAGUGGACUGGCAGGGAUUGGAAAACUCUCAAAUAUGAGUCCUCUUCAUCUUGUUCGAAGCCAAAAUGAAGACCAAAGGUGGUUUCAGGAUCACUAGAAAUACCUAGUGAUCACUUUGUGUCGUCUAAAACAAUGAUGACAUCUGUUGUCAUCAUUUUCACUCGAGACAAUAUUCAACUCUGAUGUGUCUUCAACUUUGAUGCUGUCAGCAUUUUCAGACGGUUUUGGCUUUGUGGCGAUGUAAAAUCGCAGCAUUGUCAUUUGUUUCAUACAUUGUGCUAAUUGAAGGGCAUGUUUCAGCUGUAAGGCAGUUUUGUUUAAAAUCCCACAGAAAAUCCCUCUGAUUCAGGUCCUUUAGCUGAUAUUCCACCAGGAGAAAAUAGUUCCUUUCCUGUUUCAAUGAUUUCCUUCAAACCAGCAUUAGUUGAUAGUUUUAUUUUUCUAGUGCCACCUCCUUGCUUUGCCCUUACUUGUUUGGCUGUGUUAGUGUCGCUGUGAAUCCAGCCUAUUUCAAUAUUUCUUGUGGCUUUCAGCUUCUUUGGCAGUUUUGUUGUUGUUGCUGUACGUGAUGCGUUUCCUGGAGAGCUUUCCCAUCUCAAUGUCAUUUUUUCCCUCAGUUUUUCUAAAAGCCCUUUUUUUCGUUUUGAUGUGGGCUUUUUACUUCUACAAUAAUUAAAAAUGGCAAUUUGGUCUCCGUAGGACGGGAUGUAUUUUUGAAGAGUGGCAUCAGAAUUUUUUUUGGGAA